rnacentral:tRNA from 1 species
UCCCUGGUGGCUCAGAUGGUAAAGCGUCUGCCUACAAUGCAGGAGACCCAGGUCCAAUCCCUGGGUUGGGCA